UACGGAGGGUGCAAGCGUUAUCCGGAUUUAUUGGGUUUAAAGGGUCCGUAGGCGGUUCUGUAAGUCAGGGGUGAAAUCUCACAGCUUAACUGUGAAACUGCCAUUGAUACUGCAGGUCUUGAGUAAGGUAGAAGUGGCUGGAAUAAGUAGUGUAGCGGUGAAAUGCAUAGAUAUUACUUAGAACACCAAUUGCGAAGGCAGGUCACUAUGUCUUAACUGACGCUGAUGGACGAAAGCGUGGGGAGCGAACAGG
rnacentral:rRNA from 1 species